rnacentral:lncRNA from 1 species
GGGUUCCGAGGUGCGAGCCCGGGGUUGACUUUUUUAUUCUUGUUCAAUAUUGAAGCUUUAUUAUCCGAAAUUGUUUCCUAUUAUAUUUAUGAUAUUAAGUUAUUUUGACUAAAUUUGAUCAGUAUGGAGGUUGUUACACACGGGAGGGCCUUUUUAGAGUACUGAUUUAGCUUCUUUGAGGUAAGUAUCUUGUCUAACCCUGUGUGACCCCUUAGGAUUUGGAUUGAUUGUAUUGUUGGAAUUAUGUGAAAGGUGUGUACAUGAGAUGACGAGAGUGUAAUCAGCUCAUAUAUGGAAAAAUUGACUGAUUUAGACUCUUAGGUUACUUUAUGCAUUUAAUUAGAAAUUGUUAUUACUUGUUACAUCUUUCGUUGUUGAAUUCAUUCUUAUAUGCUUAGAUUGUAGUUGUUAUUUCAUGCUCUAGCUCCCAUUGUCGAGUUUAAUCUUAUGUGUCUUAAUUGAAGUUACUAUUAUAUGUUAUAAUUUUCAUUGUCAAAUUUAUUAUGCAUAAACCGAAGUUGUUAGAACAUGUUCUAUCCACCGUUGUUGAGUUACUCUGAUAUGUAUUCAAUUGAAGUUGUUAGUAUACGUCAUGCCUUUCAUUGUUAAGUUAAUUCUUAAGAAAGUAAUGGAAGUUGGACCUUUUGAGAGUUAUUAACCUAUUUUAGUUAAAGUUGUUGUUUAUGGAGUAUCCUUCAUUGUUGAGUUAUUUUCUGUAUCAUUAUGUUGUUAUUGAGAUUUGUGUUCACAUCGUGGUUGAGCCGUGGGCUAUGUGUUGUGGUGACAUUGAUACUGCUGUUUUUGAAAGGUUGAGGCCUAUGUGUUGAUGUGAUGUUAGCACAUGCGGAUUUGUGUGUGGAUUGAUUGUUCAAUGCGAAGCAUAAUGGUGGCAUCUCACUAUUGUUAAUUAUGCGGAGUGAUAUAGGUGGCUAUUUUGUUUAUUAUCUCGGUGGAGCGAUAAGGAUGGAUAUUAUGAGGAGUGAUAUGGGUAGCUAUCGUGAUGUAUUGUCUAGGCAGAGUGAUAAGGGUGGCUAUUAUGAUAUUGUCAUUAUGGAGAGAUAAGGGGGGCUAUGUUAGGGUUGAUAUGUGUUGGCCUGGGGGCACAAUGUUGAUGAAUUUUGUGUGGUGGUAUGAUUUUCCUUGUGUGUAUUAGGUGCCUUACGUGUCUUGUUGUGUUGUUUCUAAUGAACUACUUGGUGUCUUUGAUAUUACUUGUUGGGCUGUAAUAAUACACUCGCACAAGCAUACAACCGUAGCAUGUUGUUUACACCAGUUCAGGAGCAUGGAACUUAACAUUCAUUGAUCAUGCACAUGUACUCUUGUAUUAUCUGUUUCCAUUAUGAUAUUGAUCCUAUGACCACGACUGAUUGCGAUAGUGAUCCUAUGACCAUACUUGGCGGAUUGUGAUAGUGGGCUUGUUACCAUGCCGGGUGGAUUGAGAUAAUGACAUGUGAGUUGUCCUUGUGAUCGUAAUUGAUAAUGUGGCACAAGAUGUUAUGAGCAUAUGAUUUGUGAUUUAGGACUCAUGACUUGUGUUUAUGAGAUGAGGUAUCUCGGAGUAAUCUUGUUGUAAACCUUAUGUUAGAACGGCUUGAUUAUUUGGUUGUCAUUUGUUUAUCUUAUUUGGUUUCGCUGGUACUUUAACAUGAUUCCGGUUACUUUACUAUUUUUAUCACAUGUUUAUUCCUUGUUGUCAUUUUACUGAUUCUUGCUUCCCUUAUUAGCUUUAUACUCAUAUACUGUAGAGGUUAUUAUUACUAUUAGGUGUCUUGACUUGUACCUGGUCACUACCCACCGAGAUUAAUCUUGAUACUUAUUAGGUACCAACCAUGGGGUACUCAUACUACACUUUCAUACAUUUUUGUGUAAAUCCAGGUAUUGGAGAUAACAGACUCAGGCGGAGUUAGCUUCUUGAUCGCGAGGAUUCAAGAUAGAACUACUUAGUCAUCACAAUCCCUUGGAGUCCUUUUUCUUUUGAUUGUACAAUCAAUUCGUUAUCCGAACAUUAUUGUAUUUUGACUUUGAGAUAUCUCUAUGUAUUCAUCUAGAGUUUGUGACUCUGUAUUACCUAGUAUUGGAAGGUUGUUGUGAUUAUUGUCGCGUAGGCUUGUUUCACCUUUAUUUCGAUAUUUAUAUUAAACUCUAGUUUAAAAGAUCAUGUUUAACUAGUUUAACUGUUGUAAGCAAUCGGCUUACCUAGUCUUAGAGACUAGGUGUCAUCACAAGGCAUAAGGCAGGAAUUGGGUCGUGACACAACAAUAUAAAGUGAGGGAAAGAACUAGACUAUGUGUUAGGCUGACAAUUAGUCAGGCCUAAUUUAAAUUUAAGGAGCAACAUACUUUAGCACAGCAACGCAACUGGAAGAGUACGCAGCUCAACUCAGUGGUCUUGCGCCAGAGUUCAUCAUGAACUCCAUAAGGCCCAAAUGGUUCAUGCAAAAAAAAGAUUUCAUUAGCACUUGCAUAUGAGACAUAAUACAGAAUCAUAAAAGAUGAAUAUGAACAUGAUCCAAAGGACAAAGCUAAACAAACAUUUAUUUGUUACACCCCUCUAAGGAUUAGUCAAGGCCAAGGAUCAUUGGCUAGAAUAAACCAUAUUCACCUACAAAGUCUCCUUAUGAACCCCUGGCACUUCAGAGUCACAGAGGUCUCUAAGACCCAGAGUAGUGCUUGUGCUAGUGAGGUGGUCCCUUGAUAGUGAAGUCAAGCUCAUAAUAGAAGCCAUUAACAACUUAACCUUGCUCUUGCAUAGCGAUUUGACACAUAAAUCUUGACUUAAAGUCUUUACACAAGCAACCUGACCAAGGAGGCCCAAGCAGCAACCACAAUAAAACUUCUUACAUCACAGAAGGUCCGUGCAAUGUCUUAAAUCAUAUGAGCAUGACAGGUUUAAGGACUUAAUCAAAUGAAGCACAACAAUCUCAAAAUAACUAGACUUAUUGACAUACUAUCACUAAUAUUAAACAGUUAGUUAGGUAAAAUAAAUAGAUAAUUAGGGCACUAACACAUGCUUCCAAUUCAAAGUAUCCUUAGUAAGUGAUCACUGUUGGAGUACAUGAUGCAGGAGUAUAUCAUCACGUAUAGGAUCUCAAAAGGGUUUAGGAAGUUUCAAAGGCUCGGAGUCAACUCAGAAUCAUUCUAUAUGCCAUGACACAUACAUAAUCUUCUUAGGAGUCACUGUUUCAGCCAAAUAUGAUCAAAUAGAGUCUCAGAAUAAAAGUUGUUAAUCAUUUAUCCCUAUAGGCAUGCUUACUAUGUUAAAUAUGCUUUCAAGAUUGAGACCUUAGCUAGAGUUUAUCAUGAAAUGAACAUUCCAAACAUGUAUUCCCUUAUUAGGUUUCAAUAGAGGUCUAGCGCUUCACUGAGAAUACGGUAACAACAAGCAUGACUUUUGCACUCAUCAUGAAUCAGAAUUUAUAGGAAACCAAAACACCCCCAGGACAGACACUUAAUGACCCAAACUUCAAUGCAUAUUAAGCUAUCUCGAUCAAGCAUUUCAUGAUAAAAAAAUAGCCUUACAAAGGUCAUGUUAACAGAAGCGACAACAAGAGCUAUUCAACAUGAUAGAGUAAUCUGAUUUUAAUCUCAAAUUGAACCCUAUAGGCAUGGUAUCUCUAACAUAAUAGUGCAUGGUAAAAGAGAAUAACAUUUAGUUAGAACUAUCAAUCAGCCUAUACUAACAAUGCUUAACCAACAGACUAGGCAGUGUUAACUCGUACCAAUGAAAAACUUUGAAACAUAGUCUUUACAACAACAAACAGUCAUAAGAUGGCAAGGGCACUUGUUUACAGCUAACACUAACAAAGCAGGCAUUUGAUUUCAAGUCAAUAGGUAGUUCACUAAACGAAACAUGAUCACCAUUAAGCCAUAAAGUGUAACAUGCUAAGCUAGGUAGACAAAUCUCAUAACAUGCUUCAGAUGCUAACAUGAUAAGCAAGAUUGAAACACACUCAUUAGACCAAUUAAGUAGAAUAACUACACAUGAGAAGCUAUAAAUGAGAUCUGGCCAUUGAAACGAAUUGUAAAAGUGUACUGACCUUCCGUAGGGAAACAAACCAGGGUAUUGAACUUAGUCGUUAGGAAUUAGUACUCACACUCAACUUCAAGACAAUUAAGUUUAACAAAAAACAAAAAAAAAAAGAAAUUAUAAGCAAUAGGCAGAGAUAUUUAUACUUUAGUGUAGUUGCAUUUACUACUAGUUGUUCGAUUGUCAGGUGAGGCAUUUAAGCCGGUAUUUAUAGCCAGGGAUUGGCCUUAGGGUUCUGAGUUUGAACAUUCAAAGUUGAUACAAGAUAGAGAAAAAUUAUGAACACUAAUGAAAGAUCAUAUGACGAUAUCAAGGGAAAAGGAUUGAAAAACAGACGGAAAAGAGAAUAAGGAUUACCCUAUCAGAACAGACUAGUCGUUGAAGCUUAGUGACCUCCGGACAAAGCUUUUACCCAGAGGUCCUUUCGUUUGGCCUCUGGGUCAUCAUAAUUCACCGUGAGGUUGAGAUUCCCAUGAAUCUGAAAUUGCAUGCCAUGUUUUAAUGGCAAUUUUGAACAGAGGUGGGUGUGAUGAUGAGAUUUGGGGCCUUUCACAUUAGAGGCUAGGGUUUUGGAAUUUGGGGAUUUGGAAGGGGAUGAUGGAAAUAGGCAUUUUCGGCUAGAUUCGCGGCUGGGGGGAAGGGGUAACGAUAAUGGUUUCACAGUUGUCUCUUAGACUUUGCAUCAAUUUGUGCCACGUCUCAGAGAUUGCAGAGAGGAAAGGACGACGAGAGUGAGAGAGGAAAAGGGAAAUGGGGCGGUUGGCGCAGUGAGGGAAUGACAUAUGGUUUGGGGGUUUGGUAUGUUUAAAAUGGAGGAGUGAUCUUGGGCCGUUGGAUCAAUUAGAUCAAUGGCUCAUAUUUAUUUUUAGUUUAAAGAAUAAAAAGAAAACAAU